ACUCAAAGGAAUUGACGGGGGCCCGCACAAGCGGUGGAGCAUGUGGUUCAAUUCGACGCAACGCGAAGAACCUUACCUGGGUUUGAACCGCCGAUGAAAUCCUCAGAGAUGAGGCCCUCCCGCAAGGGACGUCGGUAGAGGUGCUGCAUGGCUGUCGUCAGCUCGUGUCGUGAGAUGUUGGGUUAAGUCCCGCAACGAGCGCAACCCUUGCCUGUAGUUGCCAUCGGGUCAUGCCGGGAACUCUACAGGGACUGCCCCGGAAAACGGGGAGGAAGGUGGGGAUGACGUCAAGUCCUCAUGGCCUUUAUGUCCAGGGCUACACACGUGCUACAAUGGCCGGUACAAAGGGGUGCAAUACCGCGAGGUGGAGCGAAUCCCAAAAAGCCGGUCUCAGUUCGGAUUGUAGUCUGCAACUCGACUACAUGAAGUCGGAAUCGCUAGUAAUGGCGGAUCAGCAUGCCGCCGUGAAUACGUUCCCGGGCCUUGUACACACCGCCCGU
rnacentral:rRNA from 1 species